rnacentral:rRNA from 1 species
GCGACCCCAGGAUGGGCGGGGCCACCCGCCGAGUUUAAGCAUAUCAUA